rnacentral:tRNA from 1 species
UGGUGGAGCUAUAGCUAAAGCUUAGUGGUAGAGCUUCCGGUUUGCAUUCGGAAAGUCCCAGGUUCAAUCCCUUGCGUUUCUCAUUAA